UAGGGAAUCUUCCGCAAUGGGCGAAAGCCUGACGGAGCAACGCCGCGUGAGUGAUGAAGGUCUUCGGAUCGUAAAACUCUGUUAUUAGGGAAGAACAAAUGUGUAAGUAACUAUGCACGUCUUGACGGUACCUAAUCAGAAAGCCACGGCUAACUACGUGCCAGCAGCCGCGGUAAUACGUAGGUGGCAAGCGUUAUCCGGAAUUAUUGGGCAUAAAGCGCGCGUAGGCGGUUUUUUAAGUCUGAUGUGAAAGCCCACGGCUCAACCGUGGAGGGUCAUUGGAAACUGGAAAACUUGAGUGCAGAAGAGGAAAGUGGAAUUCCAUGUGUAGCGGUGAAAUGCGCAGAGAUAUGGAGGAACACCAGUGGCGAAGGCGACUUUCUGGUCUGUAACUGACGCUGAUGUGCGAAAGCGUGGGGAUCAAACAGG
rnacentral:rRNA from 2 species